rnacentral:rRNA from 1 species
CAAACUGGGAUUAGAUACCCCACUAUGCUUAGCCCUAAACACAAAUAAUUAUAAGAACAAAAUUAUUCGCCAGAGUACUACCGGCAACAGCCCGAAACUCAAAGGACUUGGCGGUGCUUUAUACCCUUCUAGAGGAGCCUGUUCUAUAAUCGAUAAACCCCGAUAAACCUCACCAAUCCUUGCUAAUACAGUCUAUAUACCGCCAUCUUCAGCAAACCCUAAAAAAGGAACAAAAGUAAGCUCAAUAAUAACACAUAAAGACGUUAGGUCAAGGUGUAACCUAUGGAGUGGGAAGAAAUGGGCUACAUUUUCUACCCAAGAAAAUUUAAUACGAAAGCCAUUAUGAAAUUAAUAGCCAAAGGAGGAUUUAGCAGUAAACUAAGAAUAGAGUGCUUAGUUGAAUCAGGCCAUGAAGCACGCACACACCGCCCGUCACCCUC